AACGAACGCUGGCGGCAGGCCUAACACAUGCAAGUCGAACGCACCCUUCGGGGUGAGUGGCAGACGGGUGAGUAACGCGUGGGAACCUACCUAGUGGUACGGAAUAGCCCAGGGAAACUUGGGGUAAUACCGUAUGAGCCCUUCGGGGGAAAGAUUUAUCGCCAUUAGAUGGGCCCGCGUCUGAUUAGCUAGUUGGUGGGGUAAAAGCCUACCAAGGCAACGAUCAGUAGCUGGUCUGAGAGGAUGAUCAGCCACACUGGGACUGAGACACGGCCCAGACUCCUACGGGAGGCAGCAGUGGGGAAUAUUGGACAAUGGGGGAAACCCUGAUCCAGCCAUGCCGCGUGAGUGACGAAGGCCUUAGGGUUGUAAAGCUCUUUUGGCGGGGAAGAUAAUGACGGUACCCGCAGAAUAAGCUCCGGCUAACUACGUGCCAGCAGCCGCGGUAAUACGUAGGGGGCAAGCGUUGUCCGGAAUCAUUGGGCGUAAAGCGCGCGUAGGCGGCUCUGUAAGUCCGUUGUGAAAGUCGAAGGCUCAACCUUCGAAAGCCGAUGGAUACUG
rnacentral:rRNA from 1 species